rnacentral:lncRNA from 1 species
AAUAGAAAAGUAAGUUCCAAUUUUUUGAAUGGAACACCCAGAACAUGAAAAGAUUUUUAUCCCUAACUACUUUCCUAAUUGAGAUUAUUCCAAAAGAUGUGUCAAGUUUGUUCAGGUUAAAAGAUUUGAGCCCCAAGUAAGAUUAAUGGACUUAAAGAAUUGUAAAAAAGCCCACGUUUGAGGAAGAUGGCCCACACGAACCAAGCAUGUGUGCCCACAUGUGCAUGUGCAUUACGAGGCCCGCGCAUAAGCAAAUUUAGUAGCUCUGACGGAUUACCUAGAAGGCCCAUAAGCGCCACACGUAGAAU